GACGAACGCUGGCGGCGUGCUUAACACAUGCAAGUCGAACGGUGAAGCCCUUCGGGGUGGUUCAGUGGCGAACGGGCGAGUAACACGUGCGCAACCUGCUCCUGGCUCUGGGACAACCACUGGAAACGAUGGCUAAUACUGGAUCCGACCCGCCUCGGCAUCGAGUGUGGGUGGUUCGUUUUUCGGCUGGGGAUGGGCUCGGGGCCUAUCAGCUCGUUGGUGAGGUGAAGGGUCACCGAGGCGACGACGGGUAUCCGGCCUGAGAGGGCGACCGGCCACACUGGGACUGAGACACGGCCCAGACUCCUACGGUAGGCAGCAGUGGGAAAUAUUGCACAAUGGGCGAAAGCCUGAUGCAGCGACGCUGCGUGAGGGAUGACGGCCUACGGGGUGUAAACCUCUUUCAGCUCCGAAGAAGCGAAAGUGACGUUAGGAGCAGAAUAAGCACCGGCUAACUACGUG
rnacentral:rRNA from 1 species